ACACACACACACACACACACACACACACACACACACACACAGCACAGAUUUUUUUGAUUAUGUAGAUUUCUUUUCCUACUGCAGUUUCAUAUGCAAAGCAUGCAUCAGCCACAUCCAUGCUAUCUCCUAAAGCAGUCAUUCUGAAACCCAAUCUGGGGACAGUGCAGACUAAAUAAAAUUUCAUUUUGAUUUGGCCUCCCGCUGCGAAUGGGACUGCUUUGUCUCAGCCGACAGAACCAGCAAGCCAGAAAGGGUAAUUUGAGUCUCUAAAAGCCAAGUGACUUGCAUGAGAUCUGGGGAAGGGAAGAUGAAGAUCUGGGCCUAGUCGGGGCUCCCACACCUGCAUCCUUGAGCUAACCAUCUACCUUCUACCUAAGCAGCGAUGGUCAGAGCAGCCCCAAGGCAGGAGCCUCAGUGACAGUUAUGGAGCAGGAGGCUGAAGGGAAAGACCUACGGAGACACCCAGUGCAGAGGAGAGUGCGGUAGAACAAGCUGAGACAGGGGGACACAUCUCAACUCAGUCUCAGCUAACCCACGAGCUCAGGAGCUGGAAUAGUCCCUUCCUUCAGAGUGGCACUAAGUUGAUGAAGGCAAGUCAGAUCUCCCUCCAUCACCCAGGAGCUGGUGUGGGAUGCCCUUGGAAAAGCUCUGGCUGGAGAUGACCCAAGCCCAUCUCUUUGCCCCAAGAAGGAAAUGCUGCUGAGUCCUUUACCAGCUGAUAUUGCAGUUCUUGGAGCCAACGAAACAUUGCAAGACAGUUUCAUGCAUCUCAAUUUGAAGAAAGACCACUGUUUAUCUCCCACCAUACUUCCAUUCUCUUUCAGAAUCUGGAAUGCCGAGGUUGGGGCUCACAUUUCCAACACAAGACCACCAGAACUUCACAUAUGGGCCUGCAUAUUCCUUACCUCAUGAAUGCCUAUACGUGUUGGACUGAGAAUGAAAACCAGCCUCAGUUAUAGUUGGACGCUCUUUGCAGUUCUAGAUAGUGAAGUUUGAAUUUUAUACUUGUGAGGGGGCUCUGGUGAUGAUUUGGAUGCCUGCAGCUUUCCAUCCCUGUGACCAGACAGGACAUGUUCCUAUCAUCUGCAUCUUCAUGAGGACAAGUUACAGGUGACUCCCAGUCCCUUGGACUGAAGGAGAGGAGAAUUCACCUCCUUACAGCUGGAGAAAGAGGCAAGAUCACAGAAGAGCUGCAGUGACCUUUCAGGCCAUUCUUUGAAAUCACACCGAGGGUGUUCCACACGGUGGCUAAUGAGCCUUAUGAAUGACCUCCUCACUGAGAUUUCCUUCAAUCUCCAUUUUAAUGUUUAUUUCUUUUUAUUUUGUAUGUAUGAGUGGUUAUCUAUAUGUAUGUAUGUACAGCACAUGUGUGCCUGGUACCUGGGGGGAGGGGUGCCAGUAGAGGGCACUGGAUCCCCUGGAAGUGGAGUUACAGAUGGUUGUGAGUAGACAUAAUCUGUAAAUAACAGUUCACUGCUGAGUCAUCUCAUCAGCCCCAUCCACCCCCCAUUUUCAAAGAACUGUGUUUCCAUUCCAGUAUUUAAGAUUUCUGCUAGGAAGUGCAUUCUGCCAUAUCUGGAAGAGCAUGCUGCAUGUUCAGAGUCUCAGUCUUCUAUACCUGCUCUUCAAAAGAGCACAGAUUCUUUUUUUUUUUUUUUUAAUUUAUGUCAUGCACUUUCUUACAGUGGUGACCAUCAAAAGGAUUCAGUGUGGUUUAACUCUCUAUAAUGUGUCUUCAGGAUGAGUCUAGAAAUUUUAACUUAUCCCCCGCCAUACCAGCAGUCAUACUCCAUGCCACUGUCAUUAAAAUCCACUUUCUGUGAAAUGUUAUAGAUUUUCUUCGUUCACAAUUUUUGGAAUUUGGUUUUCGAGUCUGACCUCUCCCAAGGCAUCCAUGGUGACAUUUCUGCUCCUAUUUCCAGUGGCUUCUGAGGUGCAAGUAAUCCCUUCAAACUGGGUCAGAUUUGCUAAAGAAACUACCAGAAUAAUGGCCACUAGAUGCUGGGAAGAGGAAGAGAUAGGAGGAAGAAGUUCAAUAAGGGGCAGAGGAGGAGUUAGUUCUGGCUUUUCUAAGCAAAGUAGGUAAACUAUUGAUUUGAACAGUCUAUCAGAUAUUUUCAAGGGCCGUAACAGUACAAAAUUCCCAACAUACCAAAACAGUGCCGAAAGAUAUAGAAAUGCUAACAGCCUUGUUUUGAUUGCUAUGUAUUGUGCACACACAUUGAAUUACUAUGAUAUAUUUCAAUAAUUAUGUUGGAAAGCUCCACCUCUGAGCCUGCCUUCAGUAAUCUAAUCAUCGCAGUAUGUGUCAUCAUCAGCCAACAAAAUACGAAGUAUUUCCACUGUUGCCAUGAGUUGUGUAUCCUUGGUAUGUGCAUGUGCUGCACCCCUUUGUAAAAAGCCAAUCCCUUCUCUUUGCCCUCUUUCCCCUUCCACCUAAUAAACUUUUCACAUGAGAUCUGUCA